CAGCUCACAUCUGUGGAGACAGAGAACAUCAGCCUUGCGUGGUUCCACACUAAAUGAAGCUCUGCUAUAGGCAUGCAACAAAUGCUGGGUGCCUGCUCUAGGCCAGUUUACAGUUAGUCCUGGAGACUCAGAGUAAGGGAGAGUCUGCCUUGAAGGAGUAUCCAGUGCAGUCACAGAAGAAGACAUAUACACAGCAGCUCACAAUGCAGUGUGAUAUAUGUCAGCCCUUAUUUUCAAUCCUUUGGCUAAGAGGCCAAGAAAAUGUGGGAACAUCCUGUCCAGACACACCAGUAAUACCUGAGCUACGGAAGGAAAUACGGAAGGAAAUACAGUACCAGUAGAGCUUAGACGAUGUGAUGGUAAACUCGACUGUUAACAAGAUUGGAUUGAGAGACAUCCAAAGAUUGGUAAGGCACUCU